UUACAGAGCACAGGUACUGGCUAAAUGUGUCCGAUCAUUCAUCAUGAUUUCGCCCUCCACUUUGUCACAGCGUGAGGAUUUAAGGAAGAUAGAUGGUACAAGAUGUUGUCUCCUCCGCAGACGCUUUCUGCUCUGGGUGUCUAGUUUACAACGCAUGAGCCAGAGAAAAUGAGAUGAGGGACGACGGGUGGCUUUGGGGAGACACCCUGCAAGAGGAAAGGUUUGACUUGAGUGUGGAGGUGGAAUUCGAGGAAACGGCAUAUUCCAGAUGGUGGGAACAGCUUAUGCAACAGCAUCACAGAAUUUCCAGGUAGAAAAAAACCAUGAACCCUGCUAGUCUGUAGGCUGUGGAGGCUGCUGCCCAGAUGGGAGGCAGCCUAGAACAGCGGCACAUCCUGGGUUGGUGCUCUGGCCCUGCUGCUCAUCGACCAGGUGACCAUGCACAGGUGCUGCAA